AGGUCUUUUAUUGCAACUGAUUUUCCUUUUUUUUCCUCCCAAAUAACCAGCCUAACUCUUCAGAAACAUGCAAGACAAGUUACGUAGACCGCAGUUUCCAUUGGACAAGAAUAUUUUGAAUCCUUCAAAGGAAAUAAUAAAUUUGGACACAAUUCAGACAGUGAUUAUUGCUUAAGACACCAUCUCUUUGAAGAGUAUAUUGUGUAAUAAUACAAUAAUGUUCCAUUUCAGGAAACAUCUGUGUGAGACACAUCUGCCUCCUGAUCUCUGGCAAACACUGUGACAAGGGGAAUCAUCUCGGCAUCCAGCAAGUGCCACCUCAUUUGUCACCAUGGUGCCUGUGCUUCCCCCACAGUUCCUCUGUCUCACUUUCUCGGACCCUCAGCUCUGUAUUAGUUCAUAAAAAAAGGGGAUUUGUCUUCACUGUUCCUGAAAUUUUAUUUUUGAGGUUUAUUUUUGAGAUUGGGCUAUCUGUUCUAUGUAGAAGGAAGGACUUAAGGAAAAAUUGAGCAAUGUAUGACUUUAUAGAAUACUUUAUUUAGCUUUUUCAGUUUGUAUGACCGGUGAUUCCUGCUCUUUCUGUCUCUCAUGAUUUACCUUCAUUAAAUGCUCUGAUCCAUGCUUAAAAAACUUCCAUACAGGCCUCCUUCCUUUCUAAACAUCACAUCUCUCUGCACUAAAUGAAGGCAGAAAAGAAAAGCUUCCCAAGGUACAGUGAGCAGAAAGUGUGCAAGUGCAAACCCAGACAGAGGAAAGGAUUAAUUCAAGCCUGAAAGGUCUCUGUAAGCUGGGAAGGUGUGCUAGGAAGGUGUUUAGCACAGAUAAGGACAGGAGACCCAGGGAGACAAAGACUGAAGUUAGGGGGUUUGGGAGGAUUCGUGAAAAGGACACCAGGAAAAAUAGUAAAUAGGGAUUUGACUGAACAAUGCAGUAUCUGUUAGAGAGGUGUUACAGGGGAGCCCUGGCGCUGAGAUCAGGGAGCAGAGGAGCUGGGGAGGAAGGGAGGCAGUCACAGCAGUGCCUGCAGAGAGUGGCAGGUGCUGAGACCAUGAGAAAAGCUGGGCUGUGAGUCCAGGUCCCUGAUCUACCAGCAAACAGUGGAACGACGAUUAAUUACAUCACAACUUGAAAAGUGGUGUUGUUUUCCACCCCUUCAAAUAGAGUCCACUAUUUACACUUGAAUCCACUGAUGGGCAGGAUUUUUUCAAAGACAGAAAUGAAAAACUGAUUUUAAAAAUCCAAAUUCUGUCUCACAAACAUUUCCAAAAAAUAGAAGACUUUGAAAAAGUAGUCUGAUGAGCUAAAAAUCUUGCUGUUUAUACUCAGAUUGAAGAAAGGCUGUCUGGAAGUUUCAUUCUCAUGCUAUUUUUGCAUUUUAUUUGGAAGCCCUUAGGGUCUCAAGCAGAAGCUGUAUGUAAGAGAAAAUGAAAAAUUUAUCUGAAUACAU
rnacentral:lncRNA from 1 species